rnacentral:rRNA from 1 species
UGGUGGGUAGUUUGACUGGGGCGGUCUCCUCCCAAAGCGUAACGGAGGAGCACGAAGGUUAGCUAAUCCUGGUCGGACAUCAGGAGGUUAGUGCAAUGGCAUAAGCUAGCUUGACUGCGAGCGUGACGGCGCGAGCAGGUGCGAAAGCAGGUCAUAGUGAUCCGGUGGUUCUGAAUGGAAGGGCCAUCGCUCAACGGAUAAAAGGUACUCCGGGGAUAACAGGCUGAUACCGCCCAAGAGUUCAUAUCGACGGCGGUGUUUGGCACCUCGAUGUCGGCUCAUCACAUCCUGGGGCUGAAGUAGGUCCCAAGGGUAUGGCUGUUCGCCAUUUAAAGUGGUACGCGAGCUGGGUUUAGAACGUCGUGAGACAGUUCGGUCCCUAUCUGCCGUGGGCGCUGGAGAAUUGAGGGGGGCUGCUCCUAGUACGAGAGGACCGGAGUGGACGCAUCACUGGUGUUCGGGUUGUCAUGCCAAUGGCACUGCCCGGUAGCUAAA